rnacentral:lncRNA from 1 species
UUUCCUUUAAGGUAAGUAUUCAUUGCAUUAACAUAUUCAUGAAGAAGUUUAUAGAAUUGAAGAGAAACUUACAAGUAUGAUGAAAUCAGGAGUGAGGCUUGUAGUUUUGAGAAUGUAUAAUUGUUCACUUAGACACCACAGCACGAUUCGGUCAUAUAUAAAAAGAGUUGAUAUGAGUGUGAUAUGGAGUCAUCCACACCAAAUUACGAAAUGGAACUCUGAAUUUUGUACCAUCUAACAUUAACUAAAAUUAUCAAGAAUUAUGAUACACAACUCAUUAAAUGG